rnacentral:rRNA from 1 species
CGGACUGCAGGCUGCAACCCGCCUGCACGAAGUUGGAAUUGCUAGUAAUCGUGGAUCAGCAUGCCACGGUGAAUACGUUCCCGGGUCUUGUACACACCGCCCGUCACACCAUGGGAGUUGGAAAUGCCCGAAGUCGGUGACCUAACCGAAAGGGAGGAGCCGCCGAAGGCAGGUCUGAUAACUGGGGUGAAGUCGUAACAAGGUAAC